AGGAGAGGAGGAGGAGGAGGAGGUGGAGGGCAAUAUGAAGAGUGCACCUUCUCCAUCACAAAGAAAAGCAUCAGUUUAUUUCAUAUUGUCUAAAUGAUACACAUGAACAAUCCAUCUGUUCACAUUAAUUAUUGAAAAGUGAACUAUUAUUCCUCUUGUCUGCAUUUUUUAGAAAGAGGAGAGGAGAAGAUACGACUGAAGAGAAGAGAAAAAUCAGAGUGGAGGAGAGGAGAGGAGGUGGAGGGCAACAUGAUCUGUAAACUGUCUCAUGUAAAAGAGAGAAACAAUUAGAGACAUUAAAAGACGAAAAAGACUUUAAAAAGAAGAGAGGAGAAAUUAAAGUAGAAAAAAGGAGAGGAGAGGAGGUGGAGGGCAAUAUGUCCUGUAAACCCUCUGAUGUAAAAGAGAAGAAACAAUUAGAGAAGAAAAGAGACAUGAAGAGAUGAGGAAAAAGGAGGAGAGGAGAGGAGGUGGAGGGCAUUAUGAGGAGUGAACACUCACAUAUAAAAUGUAGGAAGCUAACAUGUCUGAAAAGCAGUCUGAGCAGCUUUACCUGACAUGUAAUAUC